GUGGGGGACAACCCGGGGAAACCCGGGCUAAUACCGCAUACGUCCUACGGGAGAAAGGGGGCUUCGGCUCUCGCUGCAGGAUGAGCCCGCGUCCGAUUAGCUUGUUGGUGGGGUAAUGGCCCACCAAGGCGACGAUCGGUAGCUGGUCUGAGAGGAUGAUCAGCCACACUGGGACUGAGACACGGCCCAGACUCCUACGGGAGGCAGCAGUGGGGAAUUUUCCGCAAUGGGCGAAAGCCUGACGGAGCAACGCCGCGUGAGGGAUGAAGGCCUCUGGGCUGUAAACCUCUUUUCUCAAGGAAGAAGAUCUGACGGUACUUGAGGAAUAAGCCACGGCUAAUUCCGUGCCAGCAGCCGCGGUAAUACGGGAGUGGCAAGCGUUAUCCGGAAUUAUUGGGCGUAAAGCGUCCGCAGGCGGUCUUGAAAGUCUGUUGUUAAAGCGUGGAGCUUAACUCCAUUUCAGCAAUGGAAACUAGAAGACUAGAGUGUGGUAGGGGCAGAGGGAAUUCCCGGUGUAGCGGUGAAAUGCGUAGAUAUCGGGAAGAACACCAGUGGCGAAGGCGCUCUGCUGGGCCAUAACUGACGCUCAUGGACGAAAGCCAGGGGAGCGAAAGGGAUUAGAUACCCCUGUAGUCCUGGCCGUAAACGAUGAACACUAGGUGUCGGGGGAAUCGACCCCCUCGGUGUCGUAGCCAACGCGUUAAGUGUUCCGCCUGGGGAGUACGCACGCAAGUGUGAAACUCAAAGGAAUUGACGGGGGCCCGCACAAGCGGUGGAGUAUGUGGUUUAAUUCGAUGCAACGCGAAGAACCUUACCAGGGUUUGACAUCCUGCGAAUCCCUUGGAAACGAGGGAGUGCCUUCGGGAGCGCAGAGACAGGUGGUGCAUGGCUGUCGUCAGCUCGUGUCGUGAGAUGUUGGGUUAAGUCCCGCAACGAGCGCAACCCACGUCUUUAGUUGCCAGCAUUCAGUUGGGCACUCUAGAGAGACCGCCGGUGAUAAACCGGAGGAAGGUGUGGAUGACGUCAAGUCAUCAUGCCCCUUACAUCCUGGGCUACACACGUACUACAAUGCUACGGACAAAGGGCAGCAAACUCGCGAGAGCUAGCAAAUCCCAUAAACCGUGGCUCAGUUCAGAUCGUAGGCUGCAACUCGCCUACGUGAAGGAGGAAUCGCUAGUAAUCGCAGGUCAGCAUACUGCGGUGAAUACGUUCCCGGGCCUUGUACACACCGCCCGUCACACCAUGGAAGUUGGCCACGCCCGAAGUCGUUACUCCAACCCUUGUGGAGGAGGACGCCGAAGGUGGGGCUGAUGACUGGGGUGAAGUCGUAACAAGGUA
rnacentral:rRNA from 1 species